GGUUGAUCCUGCCAGUAGUCAUAUGCUUGUCUCAAAGAUUAAGCCAUGCAUGUCUAAGUAUAAACAAUUCUAUACUGUGAAACUGCGAAUGGCUCAUUAAAUCAGUUAUAGUUUAUUUGAUAGUACCUUACUACUUGGAUAACCGUGGUAAUUCUAGAGCUAAUACAUGCAAAAAAACCCGACUUCUGGAAGGGUUGUAUUUAUUAGAUAAAAAACCAACGCGGGCAACCGCUUAAUUGGUGAUUCAUAAUAACUUUU
rnacentral:rRNA from 1 species